rnacentral:rRNA from 1 species
UACGUAGGGUGCGAGCGUUGUCCGGAAUUAUUGGGCGUAAAGGGCGCGUAGGCGGCUUUGCAAGUGGCGGGUGAAAUCCCUCGGCUUAACCGAGGAACUGCCUGCCAGACUGUGAGGCUUGAGACCGGGAGAGGUGAGUGGAAUUCCCAGUGUAGCGGUGAAAUUCGUAGAUAUUCGCAAGAACACCAGUGGCGAAGGCGGCUCACUGGCCCGAUACUGACGCUGAGGCACGAAAGCGUGGGGAGCGAACAGG